rnacentral:rRNA from 1 species
ACGCUCGACACCUACGGGGGGCAGCAGUGGGGAAUAUUGCACAAUGGGGGGAACCCUGAUGCAGCGACGCCGCGUGAGGGAAGAAGGUUUUCGGAUUGUAAACCUCUGUCUUGUGGGACGAUAAUGACGGUACCACAGGAGGAAGCCAUGGCUAACUACGUGCCAGCAGCCGCGGUAAUCUGAGCGGGCUGGCAAGGC